rnacentral:rRNA from 1 species
GACGAACGCUGGCGGCGUGCCUAAUACAUGCAAGUCGAGCGCAGUGGGGACGGGUGAGUAACACGUGGGUAACCUCCCAUCAGAGGGGAUAACACUUGGAAACAGGUGCUAAACCGAUACUGAUGGAUGAACCCGCGGUGCAUUAGCUAGUUGGUGAGGUAACGGCGCACCAAGGCCCCGAGGCAUAGACGACCUGAGAGGGUGAUCGGCAACACUGGGACGGAGACAAGGCACAGAGUACUACGGGAGGAAGCAGUAGGGAAUCUGCGGAAGUGGACGAAAGUCUGACCGAGCAACGCCGCUUGAGUGAAGAAGGUUUUCGGAUCGUAAAACUCUGUGGUUAGAGAAGCGGUAUCUAACCAGAAAGCCACGGCUAACUACGUGCCAGCAGCCGCGGUAAUUC